GGGCCCUCCAGACUGGGAAGCUCACUGAAGAGACAUCCUCUUAGCCUGGGAAAGCAGGCGGGGGAGAGAGUUCC